AAUAAUAAUAAUAAUAAUAAUAAUAGAUUUAUUGCCAUCAAUAAAUAAUACAUGGCGCGUCAUAUAAUUAUGUACAUGUAAGUGUAUAUGGGACAAUACAUACAUUUAUUUUAAAUCUGGAGGGUUAUCCAGGAACUCUUGGAUAGAAUAAUAACUCAUUUCUAAUAGUGCGUCCUUUACCUUCUUCUCAAACAGAGCCGGAGCUAGUCUCUUCAUCGGGUCCUGAAGCUUGUUAUAAAGCUUCGGGCCCCAAUGGUCAAUGCUGUGCUGUGACACUUUAAGCCGAUGGUACGGUGUUGAGAGCGCGUCAGCGUGUCUUGUGUUAUGCUCGUGAUAUGAGCCAUUCUUGAUGAACUCGUGGAGGUGGUUGUGGACGUACCUCAGACAGCUCAAUAUGUACGCGGAAGGGAUGGUAAGAAUUUGUUGUUGUUUGAAGGCUGGGCGGCAGCUUUCCCGAUAGUUCAUUUGGCACAGGAUUCUGAUUGCUUUCUUUUGCAGGACGAAGAUCUUGUCAGCAUCUGAUGAAGUACCCCAUAGAAGUAUACCAUAGGUGGCUUUGCUGUGGAAGUUAGCAAAGUAUGUCACCCUUGCAGCUUGGGGAGUUGAGAUAUUCUUGAUUCUUCUGAUACUGAAUAAAGCUGAUGCUAGGUUUUUGCAGGUUUCCUGAAUGUGGUCCUUCCAAGAUGCUUUGCUAUUUAGGUAAAAUCCCAAGAAUUUUACCGAUGUGACGUUGGUGGGUUUUGAAGAUAUAAAUAGUUCCUGAGUCUUGUCUCCAUUGAGUUUCAGUUUAUUUGCUGUGAACCAUUCAUUGGCAUCUUCAAGGAUUUUUCUCAUUUUUGGUUUUAGCGUAUCCUCUGUUUCUUCUUUGAUGCAGAAGGAAGUGUCGUCCGCAUAUAGACACUGUCCAUCCACUCUCAUAUUGAUAGGCAAGUCAUUUACAUAGAUUAUAAAUAGCAGUGGACCGAGGAUUGAUCCCUGGGGCACUCCACACCUUGUUGGCAGAGGCUUUGACCAUUUUUCAUUCCAUUUUACUAUCUGGGUUCUAUUUUCAAGGGAAGAAUUUGUCAAAGGCAGCUGUCAGAGUUGUAUGGAAGACAGUGUAGGCCUCUUUUGCAUUACGGUGUUUGAAGACACGAGCCCACUCAAUUCCGGUUAAGUACUCCUUAAAGUAGUUCUUGCACUGGGUUCUUAAUCUUCAGGACUUGACAGUAGUGAUCAGACAUGCACCAACUUUUUGUCUCUUUUGAGAAGAUUUCUUCUAUGUUAAUAUUUGAAAAUAUAUUAUCUAUGCAGCUAGAAGAAGUUUCAGUUGUUCUAGAUGCCUCUCUCAUUAGUGGUUGCAUACCAUAUGUUGUGAAAGUUUCGAUUAAUAAAGAUUGUUCGACGCCA